GAUGAACGCUGGCGGCGUGCCUAAUACAUGCAAGUCGAGCGAACGGACGAGAAGCUUGCUUUUCUGAUGUUAGCGGCGGACGGGUGAGUAACACGUGGAUAACCUACCUAUAAGACUGGGAUAACUUCGGGAAACCGGAGCUAAUACCGGAUAAUAUUUUGAACCGCAUGGUUCAAAAGUGAAAGACGGUCUUGCUGUCACUUAUAGAUGGAUCCGCGCUGCAUUAGCUAGUUGGUAAGGUAACGGCUUACCAAGGCAACGAUGCAUAGCCGACCUGAGAGGGUGAUCGGCCACACUGGAACUGAGACACGGUCCAGACUCCUACGGGAGGCAGCAGUAGGGAAUCUUCCGCAAUGGGCGAAAGCCUGACCGAGCAACGCCGCGUGAGUGAUGAAGGUCUUCGGAUCGUAAAACUCUGUUAUUAGGGAAGAACAUAUGUGUAAGUAACUGUGCACAUCUUGACGGUACCUAAUCAGAAAGCCACGGCUAACUACGUG
rnacentral:rRNA from 1 species